ACCUGCCAAUGUUUUCAAGUUUCAAUUCAUUCAAUGCACUACAACCGAAAAGUGAGAGAAAUCACUCAUUCACUCUCUGCCAGAAACAUUAAGGUAAAAAAAUUAGUAUUGAUUCAUCAUCUCCUUCCAAUUACAACUUACAGUUAUUGAAAGAAACAAGUUUGAUCUUUCAGUUCAGUCAUUCCAGUUCUUUUAACUCAACAUCACAGCAGCCAACCAAGCCCAAAACAUUCGCAAGAUGACGUCAACGCUGACCGAUGAAGAGGAGAUGGAGGUCGUCAGCUGAGCAGAAGCGACAUCGCCUGAACCAAGAGAGAGAGAGAGGCUUGAGCUGGUUCUUGAGCAGAUGACAGAUUUCAGCGGCAUCUCCUGCUGCCUGACGGAGCUCAACGGACAGAGAAGGAAGAGCCGAACGCCGGAGAAGCAGCGGCGAAGUACCCUCGCCGAUUCUGGACAGCAGCGGCGGCGGCACCCGCCUCGGCUGAGGUCGGAUCGAGAGGUGAAGGGGACGGCGACGCGGUAGCCGUGGAAGACCGGCGGCGGCGCUCCCAGACGACGUCCGCUGACCACCGGACGAGCAGCAGCAACUCCAGUCGGCGACGACUCCAGGCGAAGCAGCAGUAGUCGGCGGCGAUUUCAGACGGGGACGCGGAGCAGCGGUGACCUGGUAAUUGAAAGUUAGAGCUCGAUCUGGGUUCCGCGGUCGGAUUUGAGAUGAAGGUCGGAGUUUGAAACCUCAGGGAAGAGUUAGGGCUCGACGUCGGAGGGGGAUUUGAGAACCGGAGUUGGACGGCGCCGCUCCCAGCCGACGAUGCUCGCCGGAUUCCAAACGAAGGAGUAGCAGCGGUGUUCCAGAUUUUAGGGCUCGAUUUUGGGGCUCUGCGGGGAGGAGAGAGAACGGCGCCGGGGUUAGACUCGUCGCCGGUCGAAGCCAACCGAAGCAGAUGACAGCUGAACGCCCGGAGGAGGCGCAGCCUGCCAGAUUUAGCCGGAGAAGGUGAAGCCGAUCAGAGUUUUGAGGAUGCCGAGCGUAAGCUUUGAGGAAGAGUGAUGAGCGGCUCCUUGAGUUGGGAUUAGAGAGAGACAGCAGCAGAAGCUCGGCCGGCGCGGCUUCGCCGGAGAGGGAAAGAGAAUUUGAGAAGAGAAGAAAAAGAGGGCAGCGGCGAGUUUGAGAAGAGAGAAAAAUGAAGGACCGAGAAUUUGAGAAGAGAAGAAAAAGAGAUGGGCUUGAUUUGGGCUCUUUCCUUUUAAAUUUUUGGGCUUGUCAUUUUAUUUGGUUUGGGCCAUUGCAUUUAUUUACUUUGGGCCUCUUUUAUUAA